AUCAUUACCGGGCUCAGGGGGGGAAACCCCCCGAACUCCCAACCCUUGCUUACCUACCACGUUGCUUCGGCGGGUUCGCGCCCGCCGGAGGUCAAACAAACUCUCGUUUACAGACGUCAGAGCGAAUGCGAAAAUAAGUAAAAACUUUCAACAACGGAUCUCUUGGUUCUGGCAUCGAUGAAGAACGCAGCGAAAUGCGAUAAGUAAUGUGAAUUGCAGAAUUCAGUGAAUCAUCGAAUCUUUGAACGCACAUUGCGCCCCUUGGUAUUCCGAGGGGCAUGCCUGUCCGAGCGUCAUUUCACCAAUCAAGCCCAGCUUGGUAUUGGGCCUCGUCCGCAAAGGACGGGCCUCGAAGACCCCGGCCGCGCGGUCCCGCUUCAGGCGUAGCAGAGCUUUCGCAGCCUCGCCUUGGAAGCGUGUCCGUGUCGCGCCGAAUGACGAACCCCUUUCCAUCAAGGUUGACCUCGGAUCAGGUAGGGAUACCCGCUGAACUUAAGCAUAUCAAUAAGCGGAGGAAAAGAAACCAACAGGGAUUGCCCUAGUAACGGCGAGUGAAGCGGCAACAGCUCAAAUUUGAAAUCUGGCUCCUUCGGGGUCCGAGUUGUAAUUUGCAGAGGAUGCUUCGGGGUCGGAUCCGGUCUAAGUUCCUUGGAACAGGACGUCGUAGAGGGUGAGAAUCCCGUAUGCGACCGGCAGACGUCCCCGUGUGAAGCUCCUUCGACGAGUCGAGUUGUUUGGGAAUGCAGCUCUAAAUGGGAGGUAAAUUUCUUCUAAAGCUAAAUACCGGCCAGAGACCGAUAGCGCACAAGUAGAGUGAUCGAAAGAUGAAAAGCACUUUGAAAAGAGAGUUAAAAAGUACGUGAAAUUGUUGAAAGGGAAGCGCUUGCGACCAGACUUGCCCGCGGUUGCUCAGCCCUCUGGGCGUACUCUUCCGCGGUCAGGCCAGCAUCGGUUCGGGCGGGCGGAUAAAGGUCCCGGGAACGUGGCUCCCCUCGGGGAGUGUUAUAGCCCGGGGCGCAAUGCGCCCUGUCCGGACCGAGGACCGCGCUUCGGCUAGGAUGCUGGCGUAAUGGUCGUAAGCGGCCCGUCUUGAAACACGGACCAAGGAGUCUAACAUCUGUGCGAGUGUUUGGGUGUCAAACCCAUGCGCGUAAUGAAAGUGAACGGAGGUGGGAACCCCUCGGGGCGCACCAUCGACCGAUCCUGAUGUCUUCGGAAGGAUUUGAGUAAGAGCACAGCUGUUGGGACCCGAAAGAUGGUGAACUAUGCCUGAAUAGGGCGAAGCCAGAGGAAACUCUGGUGGAGGCUCGCAGCGGUUCUGACGUGCAAAUCGAUCGUCGAA
rnacentral:rRNA from 1 species